UACGUAGGUGGCGAACGUUGUCCGGAUUUACUGGGCGUAAAGCGCGCGUAGGCGGGCUGGUAAGUCAGAGGUGAAAUCUCCCGGCUCAACUGGGAGGGGCCUCUGAUACUGCCAGCCUUGAGAUGCCUAGAGGAGAGUGGAAUUCCCGGUGUAGUGGUGGAAUGCGUAGAGAUCCGGAAGAACACCGGUGGCGAAGGCGGCCUGCUGGGACAGUGCUGACGCUGAGGCGCGACAGCGUGGGGAGCAAACAGG
rnacentral:rRNA from 1 species